AUCCAACUGACGAGUCCCAAACGGGGCGAAACGCGCCUUGUCCUGGAU
rnacentral:hammerhead_ribozyme from 1 species